AGACUGGCAGUCAGAGUUUGGAGGCUUCUCGUGUUAUGUUGCUAAUGAAGAGGAUGAGGAGCUCCUGACAGUGUAUCCAGAGGACAACUCCCUCGCCUUCGUCUACAGAGACAAAGAAACUCUCAAAUUUGUCAAACACGUCAACAACAAAAGCUCUUGUGACGCUGCCGAGAGUUCAACCUGCAGAGCAUUUUAUGACUUUUCUUUUGUGUACUAUGAAUAAAUAUUCACAUCAA